UUAGAGAUAGAAUAGUAGUAGAGACUACUGAUUCGCGAGGAUAGAUCUGUAUUCAUAACGACACAACUCUGUGCAAAUAUGUCCCCGUGCUCCCAGUAAUUUGCGUCAGGUCCUUCCCCUUCAAAUAGACUCUCUCUGUCGCUCGCUUCACCGUUCCCCCAACAACCUCUCGUCGACGGGGGCGGCGGCCAGGCAGAUCCGGUGCUUCCCUGGUGGACGACAGCUACUCCCACGGCACCUGCUCCCGGCCUCGUCCCCUUCUACUCCGGCAUCCAUGUCUCUUGGGGCCGUCCCCAGGGCACCCAACAUCACGUUGCGCAUCGUCGUCAGCGACCGGGCCGCCGCUGCCGCCACGGUCUCCUCCUCCCUGGUGGUCGCGGGCGGUCCGCCCGCUCAGCUGCAUAUUCUAGAUCUGGAGGCAACCUGGUACUGGUCUAGUCCGCCGUGAUGCUGCCACGGUCUCCUCCCCGGUGCUCCUAGAUCCAAUAAUAUCUCACCGGAGGCAAGCCGGUGGUGCUCGAUCUCCUCGCCUCCUUCACCUCGCAGGAUCAGCAGCAAGGUCAGCUGCGUUUCUCCCACUGCCCUCUCCCCUCUCCCUCCUAUAGAUUUCUCUCUAAUGGUAGCUUCCCUCUCCUAUGACGACUUGGAUGGCUUUCACUGGUAUUCUUUGAUGAUUAAACAUAGCAUGAUGCUUACUGAUAGGACUUAGUUGUGGUAUGCUAUCCAAAAACACGUGGGUCUGUCAACAUUUGUCAUUGUAGCUCAUAUUUUGUACUGUGUUGUGUUCAAGAAGAAGCAUAUCCAUCUAUUGAAAUUUACACAUAUGCAGUGUAUACGUACAUUGUUAUGCCCCUGGAUACACAAUUCGUUCACAGAGGAAGGAAGAUGAAUUUGGAUACACCAGGGGAGGAGAACGAAAGGGGAAAAGUGUUUCUCUUCUGCUAGUCGACCCCCUCCUCUGUUCCAGCGAGCCCCCCUUUGUCUUCGGUCUCUUCUCUCUUGUCCUUCUCAGCCCUCCAGGCCCGGUCCAGCAGCCUGGAGCGUCGUGAGGCCUUGGGCCUUCUUCCUGGGCUGGGCUGCUGCAUAACACUCCCCAUCCCUUUAGGAGCGGCUUGUCCCCAAGCCGUCAGACAAGAAAACUGAUGCAUCACCAUUGCGUCUUCCCAAGUGUCGUGGGUGUCUGGGCGAUCCUUCCAGCGAAUCUUGAACUUUGGCUUGACCGCACCGCCUUGCUGAACGAGCUUCAUCUGCAAGAUCGUCGCCGGUUGAAGUAGUGUCAAGCUCCUUUGUUCGACCAUGCCCAUGUCCGGCUCGACGGAGAACCGUGGAGGAACUUGCUUCUUGAGCUGGGAAACAUGGAUGACGUCGUGGAUCCUGGAGUUGGCUGGCAGCUGGAGCUUGUAAGAGACUGCACCGACUCGCUGGAGGACUUGGUACGGCCCGUAGAACUUCAGCGCCAACUUCUGGUUACGGCGUGCCGCGAGGGAGUUCUGGAGGUAGGGUUGAACCUUCAAGAACACUUGAUCGCCCACUUGGAAGGAGCGUUCCGUGCGAUGCUUGUCCGCUUGCCGUUUCAUCCUUGCUUGAGCUCGCGUCAAGUGUUGUCGUAGCAGCUCUCUGAUUGCUUCCCGAUCGGCCACCAAGUCUUGGAGGUCAGUAGUAGACGCCGGAGCUGAUAUCCCAAAUGGUCGAGGAAGAUACCCAUAUAAUGCUUCAAAUGGAGUACAUCCCGCUGCUGUGUGAUACGAUGUGUUGUACCAAUGUUCCACUGCUGUCAACCAUUUGGACCACUGGGCAGGCUUGUCAUGAAUCGAACACCGAAGAAAAGCCUCGAGACACUGAUUGAGGCGUUUAGUCUGACCAUCUGUCUCGGGGUGUCGGGAUGAGCUCAUGUUGAGGAUGGUAUCUGAAAGUCGAAACAGUUCCUGCCAGAACGUACUUGUGAAGACCGGAUCCCGGUCGGAGAUGAUCCUUGCUGGCAUGCCAUGGAGGCGGUACACUUGAUCGAAGAACACGAGGGCCACCUGGUGAGCUGUGUAUGGGUGCUUGAGCGGCAGAAAGUGGGCAAACUUGGUGAGCUUAUCAAUGACAACCAAAAUCACUUCAAACCCGUUUGACUUAGGCAACCCUUCCACGAAAUCCCAGCUUAUAGUGUGCCACGGAUGAGGGGGAAUCUCAUGAGGUUGAAGAAGUCCAGGUUGACGACAGUGUUCCGGCUUGGCCUGCUGACACACGGUGCAGCCUUGCACAAACUCUGUAACAUCUCGUUUCAUUUUGGUCCAGGCAAAGAGUUUCUUGACAUGCUGAUAUGUUGCAAGCACCCUUGAAUGGCCACCAAGUGCAGUGGCAUGGAGGGACUACAUAAUGUGCUGCUGAGCCAAAGGGUUUUGGCCAACCCAAAUACGCCCUUUGUAGCGAAGCACACCAUUAUCCAAUGAGUAGCCCUUGUCAUUUCUCCCUGUUACUGAUAGUUUGGUCAAGAGUUGCUUGGAACUGGUGUCCUCCUCAUAGCCAGCAACCAGGGUUUCCAUCCAUGAGGGUAUUGCCGAUGAUAUGGCGAGUACGGACUGCUGCUGGUCUCGGCGGGAGAGAGCAUCCGCCGCCGCAUUUGUGAUGCCACGCUUGUACUGGAUAGUGUACUCCAAUCACAUUAGUUUGACAAAGGCCUUGUGCUGGAUCCCCGUACUCAAUCUUUGGUCGGCGAGAUGCAAGAGGGCUUGCUGAUCUGUGCGUAUUAUGAAAUGUUGGUGCUGUAGGUACGGCCUCCAUUUGUCCACGGCCAUCAGGAUGGCGAGGCAUUCCUUCUCGUACGUGCUGAGUGCUUGAUUCUUUAGACAGAGCCCUUUGCUCAAGUAAGCCACUGGGUGCCCUUGCUGCAUGAGGACUGCCCCGAUGCCAUCCUUGCAUGCAUCGGUCUCCAGGACAAAUGUUUGCUGGAAAUUGGGUACAGCCAACACCGGAGCUGCGAUCAUUGCCUUCUUGAGCAACUGGAAAGCUGUUUCUGCUGGUUGUGUCCACUGGAAAAUUUUGCCUUUUUUUAACAGCUCUGUCACUGGUCGACUAAUCACGCCGUAAUGCUGAAUGAACUUCCGAUAGUACCCCGUGAGACCCAAAAACCCUCGAACAGCCCGGACAGAAAUGGGAAUAGGCCAAGUCUGCACUGCCUCAACCUUUGCCGGAUCAGUAGCCACGCCCUCAGCACCGAUGACGUGCCUGAGGUAUUCGAUCCGAGGCUGGGCGAAGGCACACUUAGAGCGUUUGAUCACCAAUUCAUUAUCCCGCAGCAGCUGCAAUACUUCACGUAGGCGACGUAGGUGUUCCUCCAAGGUAGCUGUAUGCACCAAAAUAUCAUUCAUAAACGCCAAAACACCAUGCCGGAGCAGAGGAUUGAGAACCUUGUGUAUCAUGCUCUGGAAAGAGCCGGGUGCAUGCGAGAGGCCAAAGGGCAUUACCAGGAACUCGUACAGGCCCUGGUGGGUGCGGAAGGCUGUUUUGAACACAUCCUCAUCGGCCACUCUUAUCUGAUGAUACCCUGAGAGAAGGUCCAGCUUGGUGAACCAUUUUGCGCCUGAGAUCUCGUCCAACAUCUCAUCCACCACCGGCAUUGGAUGUUUGUUCUUGACCGUGAUUGCAUUAAGUUGGCGAUAGUCCACACAGAAACGCCACGUUCCGUCCUUUUUUCGCACAAGCAGCACUGGGGCAGCAAAGGGGCUCGAACUGGGGCGGAUGAUACCUGCGCGGAGCAUCUCCUUGAUCUGUUUUUCUAUUUCAUCCUUCUGUUGGGGUGUGUAUCGAUACGGCCGUGCACUAACUGGUUGUGCGCCAGGGAUCAAUGGAAUGGUGUGAUCAUCUUCUCGAUGAGGUGGUAGGCUGGACGGGGCGCAGAAACGGUCGUCAAACUCCGACAACAGGGACUGCACUUCUGGGGGAAUUGGGUUCUCCGGCUCAGUCGCGUGCACUGCUGACAAGUCGUGCUCCUGGUGGAUCGGUUAGAUUUGAACUGCAUGUGGAACUGCUCCUCGGUGUAGCAAGCCUCGCAUCUUCCCAAUUGACACCUGCUUACACUUGCUCGGCGUCGUGCGUAUCCCUUUUAGGGUAAUGCGACGCCCUUCAUGUGUGAACCUCAUCCAUUUCCUCCGCCAAUGCACCCACAUGGGACUGUGUCCUUCCAACCAAUCUGCCCCAACGAUGAGAUCAUAACAGCCAAGAGGGAGCACCUUCAUAUCCUGGCAGAAUGUGUGGCCUUGUGUCCACCAUGUCAAUUGUGGCACCAUAGAGGAGCCUGUUAAAACGUCACCACCAGCAAUGACAAAUGAGGCGGCCGGUAUUGUCCAAGUAGGAAGUUGAAGUUCUGUUGCUAAGUCUGCAUCCACGAACGAACAGUUUGCCCCAGAAUCAAUCAGAAUGAGGACUGUACGCUUCCCGAUCAUGCCUUGAAGGCGCAUGGUUCUGCGUUUCACCGGUGAUGUAGCAGAACUAGGAUUGGCAAGCAGCAUCACCUCUUCCUCUGAACUAGAAUCUGACAUGUGUUGGGGAUCAGGAGGAUCAUCCAGCUGCAAAAUAUCCAGCAGCUCCUCCAUAAUGUGAAGAGGCACCUUGUCGGGGCACUUAUGCCCGCGUGCCCAUGGGUCUCCACACUUGAAGCACAAGUUCUUGGCCUUUCGGUAAGCUCGGAGCGCCUCCAACUUUUCUGCCACCUUCCGCGUUUCCUCUGGUGCAGAUUGAUGCUUGUUUUUGUCCCCGUGACUUGAUUGCUUGACAACCGAUCACUGGCUGGACUUAGAGCUGCUGCCUGCCUUGUCGUUGUCGAGCUCCACUUCCCACAACAGGGCCAAACAACUAGCAGUAUCGACAUCCUCUGGUUGAUGCAAUAUAACAGCAGAACGAAUUUUAGGACGAAGGCCUGCUAUAUAUCUCUCAACAAAAAACACCUCACUAGUGUGUGGAUCUGCUAGAAGGAUUUGGUGUCGCAGGGUGUCAAAUUUAGAAGUAUACUCAUCUACCGAGCUAGUUUGACUAAGCAACAGCAACUGGCGCAUGUGGAAUUUGUGCUUGUUCUUCCCCCACUUCUCCUGAACUGCAGUGCGCAGGUCGUGCCAAUGCACAAACUGCCGGCGUUUCUGGGCCAUUUUUAGCCACAGUGCCGCGCUCCCAACACAGUUGAGAGCGGCAAACUUGACCUUCAUUAGCUCAGACACCCCAUAAAUCUCAAAAUAUAGUUCACAAUUGUCCAACCACACUUGGUAAUCUUCCCCAUCGAAUUUAGGAAAAUCCAUCUUGGGUGUACUGCCCAAGUGUGACCGAGGAGUAGGAUGCAAAACUCGGCGAUCAUCACAAGGGAACUCCCGAUCGGCCGACGGGGCGAAGGAGGGCAUACCAUUGGCCGGAGGUGGAUGUGGGGAUCGGGGAUCCCCCAAAAUCGGCCCCCGUUACUGGUGAUGCCCGCUGUGCCCAUUGGGCCGCUCCCCGCCGUGCGCGUGCACCACCACAGUCGGAGGCGUCGUGGUCGCGCUGGCCGGGCCUUGGGGGCGCGUCGGAGGUGACUCGAGCGCCUCCAGCCGUGUCGAUGCGUCCUCAGCGUGUAGCUGAAGAAGCGCUGCGGAUUCGGACAAGCUCUUUGUCGUGGAAUCCAUGGCCUUCAUCCACGCGGUCAUGCCCUUCAGCUGUUCGACGAUGUCGUCGAGUUUGGCGUUGGUCUCCAUGUUCUGCUGCUCCACCGUCCCCAUCGCCGCCGAGAUCUGCUGCUCGACCGCCGAAGGGCCACGCUUCUUCGGCGCCAGAUCCGAACCCGGUCGACCAACCAGAUCGGCGGUUCCUGCCGAACGAUGGGAAUUACAACGGCGGACGAAUCCGCCACUCACCGCACUGCGGACUGAUGGAUCACGCGUCCCCGAGAUGGAUCGAACGACUCUGGAUACCAAUUGUUACGCCCCUAGAUACACAAUUCGUUCACAGAGGAAGGAAGAUGAAUUUGGAUACACCAGGGGAGGAGAACGAAAGGGGAAAAGUGUUUCUCUUCUGCUAGUCGACCCCCUCCUCUGUUCCAGCGAGCCCCCCUUUGUCUUCGGUCUCUGCUCUCUUGUCCUUCUCAGCCCUCCAGGCCCGGUCCAGCAGCCUGGAGCGUCGUGAGGCCUUGGGCCUUCUUCCUGGGCUGGGCUGCUGCAUAACAUACAUGUUAGAUUUUUGUUCAGAAUUUGGUUCUACUUUUAAAUAUGCAUCUUGUAUUUUCCAAAAAAGGUGGUUCAAUGGAAGUUGAGCUCCAAAGCGCCUCACCCGUGGUUUUAACUAUAUUUGAUAAAACGGACAAGCUUACUCCUUUAAUUUUUGAAGGAGUGCACAAAGAGUUGGAGCAAAACCAGAUGGACAUAGUAGAUUCUGGUGAGAGGCUGAGAAACUUGAAUAUGACUAGCAGUGUGUUCAUGUGUUGUUUUAGAUUUUUAAAUAUCGAAUUCACCUGACCAAAAUAUUUAGAGAAUAGGGUAUAUAUUUAACCGAGAAGUUGAUGUAUAUCAUUCUUGUUUCAGUUUGCAUUCAUUGUAACCUUCCACGUGUAAAAUAAGACUGUACCUUCUAAUUUGCAACCUGGAAAUUGGAGAUGACUUCCUUAAUUUGAUAUGUUUCAGAAGACUCUCAGUAUCUGGAUUUUGUGUACAACACAUUUAGACUCUCAGUAUCAGGAGACUCUCAGUACCCCCUUUAGGUUGUAUCGCAUGGUAGCAUAUGCUUAGAUGGCGGCCUCGUCUCUAGUGUUGUUUGAUAGUGGUGACUGGUGACCGUAAAUCGACAAAAGUAUUGUUACAUUUUGUGCUUCCUGUCGAUCUCCAUGUAUUUGAACCCUGGAGCUUGCAGAUUUUAACAAAUUCCUCUCUCUUUGAAAGGGCGGAAAAGACCACGGUCCUUUUAUUUUUCUCGUUGAAAAUUAUUUUUUCUCUAAGCAUCAAUAACUAAUAAAAUCCAUUUACUGGUGUGGGUUGUAGAUUUAAGGAGGAGGGCCGUAGGUGCUUUGGAGAAUGCCUAUUUUUUUUUUGUUAAUAUGAUCGAUGCAUUCUGUUCAAGCUUUAUAGUCAAAACAAAACUGAAUAUCUUCUUCUUCCAGAAAAAGAAAAGUAGUCGCACUUGUUUGCCGAAAAAUCUUCUUGUCAACGAAAAUGUGACCUGAGGGUCAACGAUUAAUUACAGGAUGACCUAACUUGGUGAUUUCAUGAUUUCCAAUAUGCACAAGGUAGCUCCUAUUUUGCCUUCUAUUCUUUCUAGGUGCACAUUUUUCUUUCACAUGUGAACAAUUGCCAUUGUUGUGUGUGUAAUAUUGCACUAUCUAUGUGGUUAACUAGUUAUAGCUACUAUUAUUCUUCUUGAAUCAUGACUACUUUUGUGUGAUAGAACUGUCCAGAUGCAUCGAGGGAUACUAUUUGAUCAUACGGCUAUUUUCUUAUUUGAACAUACGCUAGUCUAUUUGAAAAUCCCAAAGGUUUAUAGGAUUGAUAUCUAAUAUGAUUCUGCAUUUGCUUGUUAGCCUAAGUUUAUCCGAACUUUAUAUGUAAAUAUUUGUAUUGCCUAAUUUCGCCAGUAGUUGCCAAUCUCACCUAUGAACAGAAUCUGCACCAGAGUGUUUUUUUGUACAAGAUAAAUAAUGUUUUAUAAUCUGUUCCAUUAUUAGAGUUAGGAUGAUCCACAAAAUAGCUAGCAGUUCUGCCAGUUCCAGCAUAGAAGCAUACCUCAGGUUGUGUUUUGGGAUGAAUUUGAUUCAUCUCUAUUUUUUCUUCCAUGUGGUAUGUGCAGCACACAGCGAGAUAGCAUUGUUGAUGCAUAUUUAUUUGAUUAGAUCAUGGGCAAUAAGUGCUUGGCACUUGUACACACAUGUGCUAAUUGAAUCUUAUUUGUUAUUAGGUUUGAUCUCUCCCAGCACAAGAAGCUUGAUGAGCAAUAAGCAGUAGUAAUGGAGGCAGAUGCAAUAGCUUUUCUGUUGUGUGCCGUCAAGUAGCAAAAGUUGAUGCAAUGCGAUUAUUUUGGUCCUUCAUAAUUAGUUUUGCAUGAGAUGUACCGAAAAUGAUCCUCGCUUGCUAUAUUACACUUGAUAAGUUAUGUAUGUGUGUCUCUUCUGUUGUGUUUGGUCGGGGAUCGUGCAAUUUGAAAUGUAUGUUUAGUUAUGAUUUCAAGUGGAUAGAUUAAUGUUCUCAUGUACUCUAAUAUUGGUGAUGAUCUUCACAUACUUUUAGUGACCAGCAUGCUCAAAUGUAUGGAUUUCUUGCAUGGUCCUUGAUGUAGUAGAAGCUACUAAUGAAAUCAAAUAUACAUGGAAUCUCGUACAGUACAUAUGUAUGUGCGGUUUUGUGUAAAUCUAAUAGGAGAGGGGCACUCGUACAUGUUUGAAUUUUUUUCUUAUUUAUGAAGCACAACUUGAUUGAUAUCUGAGAGAUCUGAGGAUAUAUGAGAGAUCUGAGGUGGUUACUGUAAGGACAACUUGAUUGAUGUAUGAGAGAUUUGAGGUGGUUACUGUAAGGACAACUUGAUUGAUAUAUGAGAGAUUUGAGGUGGUUACUGUAAAAGUUAUGUUCUAUAUGUAAAUAGUACUGGAGGGUUUUCAAGAAAUAUACACUGAGAACCCUCCAUCUAAAUCUAUACCAGUCAUCUUCC
rnacentral:lncRNA from 1 species